rnacentral:rRNA from 1 species
CGAGUCGAAUGGGAUACCUAAAUUUCCCAUGGCAAACUGCUCAGUAACACAUGAUCAACUUACCCUAUAGAGAAAAAUAACCUCGGGAAACUGAGGAUAAUAUUUCAUAAUUGAAUAGGCUUGGAAAAGUUUUUCAAUAAAAGGGAUAAAAAAAAUGGUUUUUAUCUGCUAUAGGAUAGGAUCGUGGACGAUUAGGGUUGUUGGUGAGGUAAUGGCUCACCAAGCCGAUAAUCGAUAGGGGCCGUGAGAGCGGGAGCCCCGAGAUGGGUACUGAGACAACGACCCAGGCCUUACGAGGCGCAGCAGGCGCGGAACCUCCACAAUACACGAAAGUGUGAUGGGGUUACCCAAAGUGUUCAAUUCUGAACUGUGGUAGGUGAGUAAUGUUCCCUACUAGAAAGGAGAGGGCAAGGCUGGUGCCAGCCGCCGCGGUAAAACCAGCUCUUCAAGUGGUCGGGAUAAUUAUUGGGCUUAAAGUGUCCGUAGCCGGUUUAGUAAGUUCCUGGUAAAAUCGGGUAGCUUAACUAUCUAUAUGCUAGGAAUACUGCUAUACUAGAGGGCGGGAGAGGUCUGAGGUACUACAGGGGUAGGGGUGAAAUCUUAUAAUCCUUGUAGGACCAC